rnacentral:rRNA from 1 species
GCCAGCAGCCGCGGUAAUACGGAGGGUGCAAGCGUUGUCCGGAUUUAUUGGGUUUAAAGGGUGCGUAGGUGGCGUCUUAAGUUUGGUUUGAAAGCUGGUGGCUCAACCAUCAGAUGUGGCUGGAAACUGGGGUGUUUGAAUGGGUUGGCGGUAGCCGGAACGGGUCAUGUAGCGGUGAAAUGCAUAGAUAUGACCCAGAACACCGAUUGCGAAGGCAGGCUACUAGGACUUGAUUGAUACUGAGGCACGAGAGCAUGGGUAGCGAACAGGAUUAGAUACCCUGGUAGUCCAUGCCGUAAACGAUGAUUACUGGCUGUAUGUAUAACAGUAUGUGUGGCUGAGCGAAAGCGUUAAGUAAUCCACCUGGGGAGUACGCUGGCAAUAGUGAAACUCAAAUGAAUUGACGG